UACGGAGGGAGCGAACGUUGUUCGGAUUUACUGGGCGUAAAGGGUGUGUAGGCGGUUGUUUAAGUUUGGUGUGAAAUCUCCCGGCUCAACUGGGAGGGUGCGCCGAAUACUGAAUGACUUCGAGUGCGGGAGAGGAAAGUGGAAUUCCUGGUGUAGCGGUGAAAUGCGUAGAUAUCAGGAGGAACACCGGUGGUGUAGACGGCUUUCUGGACCGUAACUGACGCUGAGACACGAAAGCGUGGGUAGCAAACAGG
rnacentral:rRNA from 1 species